rnacentral:rRNA from 1 species
ACGCUGGCGGCAGGCUUAACACAUGCAAGUCGAACGGUAGCAGGAGAAAGCUUGCUUUCUUGCUGACGAGUGGCGGACGGGUGAGUAAUGCUUGGGAAUCUGGCUUAUGGAGGGGGAUAACUACGGGAAACUGUAGCUAAUACCGCGUAGUAUCGGAAGAUGAAAGUGCGGGACCGCAAGGCCGCAUGCCAUGAGAUGAGCCCAAGUGGGAUUAGGUAGUUGGUGGGGUAAAGGCCUACCAAGCCUGCGAUCUCUAGCUGGUCUGAGAGGAUGGCCAGCCACACUGGAACUGAGACACGGUCCAGACUCCUACGGGAGGCAGCAGUGGGGAAUAUUGCGCAAUGGGGGGAACCCUGACGCAGCCAUGCCGCGUGAAUGAAGAAGGCCUUCGGGUUGUAAAGUUCUUUCGGUAUUGAGGAAGGAGUGUAUGUUAAUAGCAUACAUUAUUGACGUUAAAUACAGAAGAAGCACCGGCUAACUCCGUGCCAGCAGCCGCGGUAAUACGGAGGGUGCGAGCGUUAAUCGGAAUAACUGGGCGUAAAGGGCACGCAGGCGGUUAUUUAAGUGAGGUGUGAAAGCCCCGGGCUUAACCUGGGAAUUGCAUUUCAGACUGGGUAACUAGAGUACUUUAGGGAGGGGUAGAAUUCCACGUGUAGCGGUGAAAUGCGUAGAGAUGUGGAGGAAUACCGAAGGCGAAGGCAGCCCCUUGGGAAUGUACUGACGCUCAUGUGCGAAAGCGUGGGGAGCAAACAGGAUUAGAUACCCUGGUAGUCCACGCUGUAAACGAUGUCGAUUUGGGGAUUGGGCUUAAAGCUUGGUGCCCGUAGCUAACGUGAUAAAUCGACCGCCUGGGGAGUACGGCCGCAAGGUUAAAACUCAAAUGAAUUGACGGGGGCCCGCACAAGCGGUG